AUAUAUUUAUUAUUUAUUAUUUAUUAUUCGCUGUUUAUAUAUAAUAAAAUAACGGAGAUAUAUUUAAAAUAUAAAUUAUUUAUCAUGUAUAUAUAAUAACGGUUGUGUAUUUAAUAUAUGUGUUAUUUAUAUAUAAU
rnacentral:misc_RNA from 1 species